rnacentral:lncRNA from 1 species
UUGAAAAGCUGAGCAUCGUGAGAGGCGGCGAAAAGUGACGUUUGCAGUCUUUUGCAGAGUAGAAACUGCAGCGCUGGACUGGGCAGUGCUGGCAUUCUUCAGCGCUGGCGGCAAAGUUAGAAAAGAAUUGCAGCGCUGAAAAGAAAAAUCAUGAACACCAAGAAUCAAAGUAUCCGCACAAGCAACCAAAAACUUAGGAAACACCAAAACAAAAACGGAAAACAAAGAACAAGAAAAACAAAAACAAAAACCAAACCACGGUGGGUUGCCUCCCACCAAGCGCUAGUUUUAGAGUCGCCAGCCCGACGUAGAGGAUCCCUUAACCAAAAUCGCUAUGAAACGUCAGCUGAAUUAGUCCUCGUGAAAGCACAUCAUCC